GACAUGCUCAUGCAAAAAUAUUUGUUCUUGUAAUUCUACCCUUUGCAUCCUAGCCUCUUGCCUUGGUCUUCAUGGGUCAGCUUGAUUUUUUUGUGACACAGGCUUGGGGCUCACCUGUGGGCUGGGGCUUUUGCUGGCUGACGCCAAGGCAGCGUUGGAUGAGGCCAUAGAAGGGUGGAGAAAGCUGGGCAGCCACUGCAGCGCCAGCUCUGGAAAAUCGCUGUGUGAGCCCCAGCCAGCAAUUCCCACUCACCAGCCAGUCACGACUCUUCCUUCUGCUUCUUCUUGGAUACUGCAGUGAUGGCAAGUUGGAAUGUGAAUGGGAACAACUGCAUGAGCCGGAGUAGCAGCCAGUGCAGGAAGGACCUGAUCUUGACUUGGAGUAGGGAAUAAGGAAUGUCCAGCUGAUGGGGGAAGGAACGUCAAGGGAAUGAUAACAACUAAGGAGGCAGUAAGUAAGACCAAGGAUGCAGACCUUCAGGAUAACAGAGACCGGAACGCAAAGAAAGCAAAGCCAUACCUCUGCUAACUCAGCACUAGGACCUUGCGAGCAUGCGCAAGCAAAAAUGUCACUCAGUAAACACAGUCAGGCAGACUGUGGGCGACCAUCAGA